UCAGAGCCCGUUAAUGGGUGAUGGCGUGCCUUUUGUAGAAUGAACCGGCGAGUUACGAUUUGAUGCAAGGUUAAGCAGUAAAUGUGGAGCCGUAGCGAAAGCGAGUCUGAAUAGGGCGUUUAGUAUUUGGUCGUAGACCCGAAACCAGGUGAUCUACCCUUGGUCAGGUUGAAGUUCAGGUAACACUGAAUGGAGGACCGAACCGACUUACGUUGAAAAGUGAGCGGAUGAACUGAGGGUAGCGGAGAAAUUCCAAUCGAACCUGGAGAUAGCUGGUUCUCUCCGAAAUAGCUUUAGGGCUAGCCUCAAGUGAUGAUUAUUGGAGGUAGAGCACUGUUUGGACGAGGGGCCCCUCUCGGGUUACCGAAUUCAGACAAACUCCGAAUGCCAAUUAAUUUAACUUGGGAGUCAGAACAUGGGUGAUAAGGUCCGUGUUCGAAAGGGAAACAGCCCAGACCACCAGCUAAGGUCCCAAAAUAUAUGUUAAGUGGAAAAGGAUGUGGCGUUGCCCAGACAACUAGGAUGUUGGCUUAGAAGCAGCCAUCAUUUAAAGAGUGCGUAAUAGCUCACUAGUCGAGUGACACUGCGCCGAAAAUGUACCGGGGCUAAACAUAUUACCGAAGCUGUGGAUUGUCCUUUGGACAAUGGUAGGAGAGCGUUCUAAGGGCGUUGAAGCAUGAUCGUAAGGACAUGUGGAGCGCUUAGAAGUGAGAAUGCCGGUGUGAGUAGCGAAAGACGGGUGAGAAUCCCGUCCACCGAUUGACUAAGGUUUCCAGAGGAAGGCUCGUCCGCUCUGGGUUAGUCGGGUCCUAAGCUGAGGCCGACAGGCGUAGGCGAUGGAUAACAGGUUGAUAUUCCUGUACCACCUAUAAUCGUUUUAAUCGAUGGGGGGACGCAGUAGGAUAGGCGAAGCGUGCGAUUGGAUUGCACGUCUAAGCAGU
rnacentral:rRNA from 1 species